UUUCCACUGAUAUUAAAAAAGCUGCAAAACAGAGAAUAACGUUUGUCUUGCUGGAGGUUUAUAGGAACAUUGUGACCAGACCUACGUGGACGGCUGCAAUAACAAAAGAUUCACGCACCAAGAAGCUCACAACAAGCA